rnacentral:tRNA from 1 species
GCCGGUGUAACUCAGCCUGGUAGCUGCCAAUGUUCAUUGGCUUGCUGGGCAAUUAGAGUGAUGCUCUCAUAAGGCAUAAGUCGGGAGUUCAAAUUGUGGCGCGCGAGCAUGCGCCCGCAUGCAAGUCUCCCCACCGGCA